rnacentral:lncRNA from 1 species
AUGGGAUAUUUAAUCUGUUCUCUGAAGUGUCACAUUUUAUUUAAUAGCGUAAGAAAAAGUAGGAUGUCACUUGUAUUGUUACUGUUCAACCUUCGAAAACAUAUAGAGUGUAUUCAAAGGAUCUUGUACUAUUCUAAAGUUGUUGUGCUCCAUUGUUGUCUUCAGAAACUGUUACACUUUGUCACUAAGAUAACGAAGAGAUUGGACAUGCAUCACCUGGAAAAAGUGUAUGGCGUCAUUAUUCAGUGCAUUUACAAUCAUCGAGAAGACUACGACAAAACCGAUUUGGUGGAGACGACAACAACAGUACGACUUCUCCCUUUCAGUCUGGAAGACGUUUAUCCAUCUUGCAAAACCAUUGUUAUAUUUGGCAUAAUUGUUGGCAGUUUCUGCAGGAAAAAGCUUGAACUUGAAGACAAUGGGUCCACCCACACAGCCCUUUCAAAGCAGUUAACCUUAGUCUGUCAGUAGUUUUCCUUGAGAACCAUUUUGGGAGCGGGAGGACUACGAAGGGAAGGUGCUUUUCUAAGUCUUUCACUUGCUCUCUCCCUCUACAGCCAGUCAUGCACGGUGAUAGCAGUUGUUCCAUCCUUAUAGAGAAAUUUAAGUAUAUAACAAGAGUUUGAGACUUCUCUCUAGUCACACUCGAAUCUCUUUUUAACUAAUGCGCUUGAGCAUCUGUCACUGGGGAGAUUUCUGCCUGUGCCAGUUUUACACUGAGUCAAAUUCUCUGGUCUCUUCCUGUAAAAGAUGAUUUCUGAGUUGUCCAGACUCCUCAGAAAUCUGCGUGAGGCGUCCAUGGUCCAAGUCAGGUGUUCCCAGUAUACGCUGGAUAUUCACUCUUCACAUUGAAGAUCCUUGAACCCA